rnacentral:rRNA from 1 species
UACGGGGGGGGCAAGCGUUGUUCGGAAUUACUGGGCGUAAAGGGCUCGUAGGCGGCCAACUAAGUCAGACGUGAAAUCCCUCGGCUUAACCGGGGAACUGCGUCUGAUACUGGAUGGCUUGAGUUCGGGAGAGGGAUGCGGAAUUCCAGGUGUAGCGGUGAAAUGCGUAGAUAUCGAGAGGAACACCUGCGGCGAAGGCGGGUUGCUGGGCUGAUACUGACGCUGAUGCGCGAAAGCCAGGGGAGCGAACGGG